rfam:Lactobacillus brevis ATCC 367, complete genome.
GCCGGAACUGCGAAGAUGGAUAAUCGCGACGGACUGUAAAACAGUUCUCAUUGAGUGAGUAGGUUCGAACCCUACUUCCGGCA